CAGCAUCGCCCGGCCAAGGCGGCGUGCGAAAGCAGGGGCUGCUGGCCACGGUGACCUUCACCAGGACGUCCAAGGUCAAAUAAGUCAUGUGAAAAUGUCAGUGCAUGAAUUACCUGUGAACUAUUUACCCCCUGCAUCCCACCUGGGACCCCCUGAGCUUCCCAAUGCACAUCCGGUCACCUGAAACACCAAGAAAGUUUUUGGGUAGAGCAGGAUAAAUGGCCAGGAAAACACCCAGAAGCGUGAAGAAAAGACCUGUAUCCUCCAGAUCCCUCUCAUCCUAAGGAGUGGAGAUGAUGCAGAUUAAGGAGUUAAAUACCCCC
rnacentral:lncRNA from 1 species